UCCGACGGGGUUUGGUACAAGAUAGUGAC
rnacentral:piRNA from 1 species